UACGAGAGGAGCGAGCAUUAUUCGAAAUGAUUAGGCGUAAAGGGUUUGUAGGUUGUUUUUUAAGUUGAAAAAAAAAAAAUGAAAAGCCUAACUUUCUUUCUUUUUUUUCAAAAACUGAUAAACUAGAGUAUAAAUAGAGGAUAAUAGAAUUCUUAUUGUAAGGAUAAAAUCUUAUAAUAAUAAGAAGAAUUUCAAAGGCGAAGGCAAUUAUCUGGGUAUAUACUGACACUGAGGAACGAAAGCUUGGGUAGCGAACGGG
rnacentral:rRNA from 1 species